rnacentral:rRNA from 1 species
AUACGUAGGGUGCAAGCGUUAAUCGGAAUUACUGGGCGUAAAGCGUGCGCAGGCGGUUUUGUAAGACAGUGGUGAAAUCCCCGGGCUCAACCUGGGAACUGCCAUUGUGACUGCAAGGCUGGAGUGCGGCAGAGGGGGAUGGAAUUCCGCGUGUAGCAGUGAAAUGCGUAGAUAUGCGGAGGAACACCGAUGGCGAAGGCAAUCCCCUGGGCCUGCACUGACGCUCAUGCACGAAAGCGUGGCGAGCAAACAGGAUUAGAUACCCUGGUAGUCCACGCCCUAAACGAUGUCAACUGGUUGUUGGGGAUUUAUUUUCUCAGUAACGAAGCUAACGCGUGAAGUUGACCGCCUGGGGAGUACGGCCGCAAGGUUAAAACUCAAAUGAAUUGGCGGGG